CCUACGGGAGGCAGCAGUGGGGAAUAUUGGGCAAUGGGCGCAAGCCUGACCCAGCAACGCCGCGUGAAGGAAGAAGGCUUUCGGGUUGUAAACUUCUUUUCUCAGGGACGAAGCAAGUGACGGUACCUGAGGAAUAAGCCACGGCUACCUACGUGCCAGCAGCCGCGGUAAUACGUAGGUGGCAAGCGUUAUCCGGAUUUACUGGGUGUAAAGGUCGUAUAGGCGGGGACGCAAGUCAGAUGUGAAAACCACGGGCUCAACCUGUGGACUGCAUUUGAAACUGUGUUUCUUGAGUACUGGUGAGGCAGGCGGAAUUCGUGGGGUAGCGGUGAAAUGCGUAGAUAUUAGGAGGAACACCAGUGGCGAAGGCGGUCUGCUGGACAGCAACUGACGCUGAGGCGCGAAAGCGUGGGGAGCAAACAGGAUUAGAUACCCCAGUAGUC
rnacentral:rRNA from 1 species